rnacentral:lncRNA from 1 species
UUUGGGAACAAUCAACAAAGGGUAAUACAUUUAGAAAAAAAAUCAAGGAAAACAUUAAAAUCUUCAGAUCUUAAGUCUAGGUUGUCUUCCAUUAUUCUGAUGCCUUAUCUUGGCAAUCAUGGUCCUCGAAGAAAUCAAAGACUUUCAAGAAUGUUCUUACUUCUAUAAGAGUAGGGGAAGUCAUCUUAACAAAGGCAUUGUUAGCUUCAACAUUGGUCCUAGCAAUAGAAUUCGCAAUGGCGUGAGUCUCAACAAGCUUGCCUUUUAUCCUUUGGGGAUGCUUGGUGUAGAUCAACAAAGUGCUUUAGUAUACGAUAGGUUCGCGACUAAUGUCCAACCAUGUUACAAUGAUGGUAGAUACUUUCAUCAUGUUUCUUUAGGAGUUUCUUGCCCUUACCCUGAUUCGAGCCAAGGUUGGAUUGCUUAGGGCGAUUAAGUCUUCCGCCACCCCUACGUGGGUUGUCACGACCCGAAACUCCCAUCGGGCCCGUGACAACCGUCAUGACGUCUCAAUAGGCACUCAUUACCCCGAAUGUCGAUCGAAACCCCGCAAGGCUUAGCAUCAGCUUCCUUAUCUCCCCGGUGAGCGAUAGUUAUUAAAUCUCACAUUUCAAGAAAUCAUAAGUCGUUUCCAAAUCAAAACAAUAAAAUAUUAUUUUCUGGCUCACAGGGGCAUUUUCGUUAUUUUUCUUCAAAAACACCGAAACUCGCCAAAAACAUGGUGUAAAAGAUAAAUAUGUUCAUACAUACUUUAAAUCAGAUAACUGAAGUAUAAAAUUACUUUUACAGUGACACGUGGGCCCCCAACUGACCAAGAAGGUGUAGGGCUACGAACCCUUACUUUCUAGGAUGCAACUCCGAGAUUAAUUCUCGUCUUAAUCAACUAUCAAUAAACUGUUCUGAGCCUGAAAAAUGGAUAGGAAGAGGGGUGAGAUUAUGAUUACAUAAUC